GCCGCCCUAGCUCAGUUAGGCAGAGCGAUUCACUCGUAAUGAAUAGGUCAGGGGUUCGACUCCCCUGGGCGGCU
rnacentral:tRNA from 2 species